GGCCCGGAAGGGGCAGUAGCGCUUCCGUCUCCGCCGGGGAGGCACGGAGGGCGGAGCUGCGGCCCGAGGACGCGACGCGAGCCCAGUUCCGGCGAGGAGGCCGCGCCAGUGACAGCGAUGGCGGCGGAGUCGGCGCUCCAAGUUGUGGAGAAGCUGCAGGCGCGGCUGGCCGCGAACCCGGACCCGAAGAAGCUCUUAAAAUAUUUGAGGAAACUCUCCGCCUUGCCUAUUACAGUAGAUAUUCUUGUGGAGACCGGCGUUGGGAAGACAGUAAAUAGCUUACGGAAACACGAGCACGUGGGAAGCUUUGCCAGGGACCUGGUGGCCCAGUGGAAGAAGCUGGUUCCUGUGGAGCGAAACACUGAGCCUGAUGAACAGGACUGUGAGAAGAAUGAUUCCCGAAAGCGCCCCAGGGACGCCCUUCAGAAGGAGGAGGAAGAGGAGGUAGAGGCAGACUAUCAAGAAAACUGGAAAGCCUCCAGUAGCCAACAAUACAGUCCUGAUCACAGACAGAAAAAACACAGGAAACUCUCGGAGUUCGAAAGACCUCUCAAAGUGGCUCACAGUCAGGAGCGAAAGAGGGGCCACAGGGCUUCCCCAGUUUACUCUUCAGACCAUGAAUCUUCCGAUUAUGGCCACGUUCAGUCCCCUCCAUCGUCCGGCAGUCCUCCUCAGAUGUCCGCGGACCAUUACAGAUCCCCAGACGAGGAUCACGAGCCCUUUGUUCCCCAACAGAAGCCUGGAAAGGGCCACAGCAGUGCCUUUCAGGACAGACUCGGGGCCAGCCAGGAAAGACACCUGGGCGAGCCCAGGGGGAAAGGGGUUGUGAGUCAGAACAAGGAGCACAAAUCUCCCCAUAAAGAGAAACGUCCCGUGGGUGCCAGGGGAGAGGAGAAGUCGCCUUUGAGCAGAGAAAAAUCCCACAAGGCCAUCUCCAAAGAGGAAACCCGCAGGCCCCUCUCGGGGGAUGGCACAAAGGAGAAAGCGCCCUCUAGUGGUAUCAAGAAAGAGAAGGACCGAGAGGGCAGCUCCAAGAAGUUUCUAUCCCCCUUGGAGACUGCUUCAGACAACCACCGCAAAAAGCCAAAGCACAAAGACGCAGAGAAAACCAAGUCAGACAAAAACAAGCAGAGUCUAGACAGCUUGGACAGAGGAAAGGGGGCCGGAGACCUGCCGCCCAAGGCAAAAGAGAAGGUUUCUAACAACCUCAAGACUCACGAAGGGAAAGGGAAAACUCCUUCGGACAGGAAGUCAGGGGGCUCCCUCCCUCGAGUUGAGGAGACAGAUGUGGAUGAUGAAUUUGAGCAGCCCACCAUGUCUUUUGAGUCUUACCUCAGCUAUGACCAGCCCCGGAAGAAAAAGAAAAAGGUUGUGAAAGCCUCAACUGCGACUGCUGGGGAAAAAGCACUAAAAAAAAAAGAUUCGAAAAGCACUAGUAAAAGCGUGGACGCAGUUCCGAAAUCACCUAAGGUGAACGAAAACAAGUCAGAGAGGCACCAGGCGGCUGGAGCCGAAGCAGCCAAGCCGAGAAAGGUCCCCACCGAUGUCCUGCCAGUGUUGCCAGACCUCCCAUUGCCUGUGAUACAGGCCAAUUACCGGCCACUUCCUUCCCUCGAUUUGAUAGCCUCCUUCCAACCAAAGCGAAAAGCACACUCUUCCCAGGAAGAGGAUGAAGCCGGAUUCACUGGACGGAGAAUGAAUUCUAAGAUGCAGGUGUACUCUGGUUCCAAGUGUGCCUAUCUCCCCAAAAUGAUGACCUUGCACCAGCAGUGCAUCCGGGUACUUAAAAACAACAUUGAUUCAAUCUUUGAAGUGGGAGGCGUUCCGUAUUCUCUUCUUGAACCUGUUCUGGAGAGGUGUACGCCUGAUCAGCUGUAUCGCAUAGAGGAAUAUAAUCAUGUAUUAAUUGAAGAAACAGAUAAAUUAUGGAAAGUUCAUUGUCACCGAGACUUCAAGGAAGAAAGGCCCGAAGAGUAUGAGUCAUGGCGGGAGAUGUACUUGAGGCUUCAGGAUGCCCGAGAGCAGCGGCUACAACUAUUGACAAAGAAUAUCCGAUCUGCACAUGCCAAUAAGCCCAAAGGCCGACAGGCAAAGAUGGCCUUUGUCCACUCUGUAGCCAAACCACCUCGUGAUGUUCGAAGGAGGCAGGAAAAGUUUGGAACAGGAGGAGCCGCUGUGCCAGAGAAAAUCAGGAUUAAGCCAGCCCCGUACCCCAUAGGAAGUAGCCAAGCUCCGUCCAACAGCGGCAGCAGCAACAGCUUUCCUGCCAGCCCCGAAGAGCCCGCCUAUGAUGGCCCCAGCACCAGCAGUGCCCACUUGGCGCCUGUGGUCAGCACUGUUUCCUACGACCCUAGGAAGCCGACUGUGAAGAAAAUUGCCCCCAUGAUGGCUAAGACAAUUAAAGCUUUCAAGAACAGAUUCUCCCGACGAUAAACUGAGGACUUGCCUUGGAGAAGGAAUUUGGGGGUGAGGAAGACAAGGACAGUGGGGUUGGGGAAUGGAACUUCCAAAGGAGACCCAAGUCGUCUGCUUUGUGGCAGCUUUGGUCUCCGAGUCCUGCACAGUCCGCAGGUGUCGCAUCUGUGAGCCUGUGCGGCCACUGCCUCCCGCCUGAGAACACUUCAGAACUCUGAAGAAGAUGUGAAGCCUCAGUCUCACUGAGCAUUUUAAGGUAAGAUCAUGUGAUUGAAAGAGCACAACAAUUUGCUAUGUUUUGUAGAGAACUUUGCAGCUGAAGCUCUCUACUUUUCGAGUGUGUGAGCCAGAAUUUGGAGGGAAGGACCAACGUAGCAAAAGUGUCCAAGCUGUAGCCUUGGGGUGGGCGAGACCGCAGGGCAUGAGUGUGGUUUGGGAAAGGAGGGCCGCGCUUCUGAGUUUACUAAGGAGCAAGAUCAGUGCUCUGCUGUACAGGCGCCUGUGGCGAUGUGACCUAAGUAUCGCUCUCUUUUAAUUUGCUGUUUUUUAACUGGGUGAAACAUUAUUUCUCUUAAUGGAUUUUAUUUCUCUUGAUUGACUGUAUUACCAUUCCAUCCCUAUCCCCAAAUCUUAGGAAUGUUAGGAAGCCUCUUACCUAAAACCAAAUGAACAUCUGGGUCAGGUGCCUAGAACGGCUUCCUCAAGGUGUCCACCUUCAAGCUGUCUCUUAGCUGUGUGUCCACGUCUGUCAUUGAGACCAGUCUUUCACAUUUCAGAUUCAGUUGUGUAUGAUUUUAUUUUCUUUAUUAGGAGUCUUUAGACAGGGAAGGAAAACCCACAUUUUCAUCCCGACAUCACUUCCAUAAAGAUUUUUAAUCACCCCUGUGUGCAUAGAGCCAGGUCUUUCCUCCUCCCCUUCCACGCAUGUCUGCACCGGGGCUGUGACUUGGUGAGACCAGGAAGGAAGGAAGAGGAGAAGCCCAAUUUCUAAAUGACCUCCUCGCCUGGGUGCUGGGCAUGGCUGCAGAGCAGACAUAGGAUGACGUCCAACUUUUGGUCUCAUUUGUGAAAACGUGUGCAAUUUUUUCCCCUGUGCUACACUACAUACAAAUCAGCAAAUUACAAAUUAACCCUUUGCGAUCGUUGAUAUAAUGAGCAGUUUCUUUAGGGCUUUCUCUUUCUUUCCGGGAAGCGGGAGGGGAAGGAGCAAGUUGUCAUCUUGCUCUUCAUUUGUAUUUUGGUCCCAAAAUGUAAAUAUAAUUUUCUAUGUUACUUUUUUGUGGUAACUACCAAGAUGAAUAUUUUAAUUAGAUAAGUUAUAUGAAAUGAAAGAAAAAUUCCAUGUCUAAAUAAAAAACAAACAAAAAAUCCCAA